rnacentral:rRNA from 1 species
CCUCCCACGACCCCUUUGAGUUUUAGCCUUGCGGCGUAAAGAGCUCGUAGGCGGUUUGUCACGUCUGCUGUGAAAACCCGAGGCUCAACCUCGGGCUUGCAGUGGGUACGGGCAGACUAGAGUGCGGUAGGGGAGAUUGGAAUUCCUGGUGUAGCGGUGGAAUGCGCAGAUAUCAGGAGGAACACCGAUGGCGAAGGCAGAUCUCUGGGCCGUAACUGACGCUGAGGAGCGAAAGCGUGGGGAGCAAACAGGCUUAGAUACCCUGGUAGUCCACGCCGUAAACGUUGGGAACUAGAUGUAGGGUCCAUUCCACGGAUUCUGUGUCGUAGCUAACGCAUUAAGUUCCCCGCCUGGGGAGUACGGCCGCAAGGCUAAAACUCAAAGG